rnacentral:rRNA from 1 species
AUUGAACGCUGGCGGAAUGCUUUACACAUGCAAGUCGAGCGGCAGCGCGGCCUUCGGGCUGGCUGCGAGCGGCGAACGGGUGAGUAAUUCAUCGGAACAUGCCCAGUCGUGGGGGAUAACACUUCGAAAGAAGUGCUAAUACCGCAUACGUCCUGAGGGGGAAAGCGGGGGAUCGCAAGACCUCGCGCGAUUGGAGUGGCCGAUGUCAGAUUAGCUAGUUGGUGGGGUAAAGGCCUACCAAGGCGACGAUCUGUAGCUGGUCUGAGAGGAUGAUCAGCCACACUGGGACUGAGACACGGCCCAGACUCCUACGGGAGGCAGCAGUGGGGAAUUUUGGACAAUGGGGGCAACCCUGAUCCAGCCAUUCCGCGUGAGUGAAGAAGGCCUUCGGGUUGUAAAGCUCUUUCGGCAGGAACGAAACGGUGGGCUCUAACAUAGUCCGCUAAUGACGGUACCUGAAGAAGAAGCACCGGCUAACUACGUG